rfam:Macrostomum lignano uti_cns_0006527, whole genome shotgun sequence.
ACAACGGCCUUUUUCAGGGCCACCACAUGAUGUGAUGCCGAAGUUGU